UCCCUAGUGGUCCAGUGGUUAGGACUCAGCACUUCCACUGCUGAGGGCCCACAUUCAAUCCCUGGUUAGGGUA
rnacentral:tRNA from 1 species